GACGAACGCUGGCGGCGUGCUUAACACAUGCAAGUCGAACGAAGUGGCGGACGGGUGAGUAAUACGUGGGUAACCUGCCCUCCUUUUUGGGAUAAGCAUUGGAAACUGGGUCUACUACCGCAUAUAGGGGGAUGGGCUAUGGGCCUGUCAGCUUGGUGGUGGGGUGAUGGGCUACCAAGGCCGUGCAGGUUUGCCGGCCUGAGAGGGGGAACGGGCACAUUGGGACGGAGAUAAGGCCCAGACUCUGAAGCGGGGGAGAAGUGUGGGCUAUGGGAGCAUGGGUGAAAGCGUGAUGCAGCGAGGCCGCGGGGGGGAUGAAGGCUGUCGGGUUGUAAACCUCUUGCGCUAUCGAACGGGUAGGUGGAGAAGAAGCACCGGCUAACUCCGUGCCAGCAGCCGCGGUAAUAC
rnacentral:rRNA from 1 species